rnacentral:rRNA from 1 species
UACGUAGGGUGCAAGCGUUGUCCGGAAUUUAUUGGGCGUAAAGAGCUCGUAGGCGGUUUGUCGCGUCUGCUGUGAAAACCUAAGGCUCAACCUUGGGCUUGCAGUGGGUACGGGCAGACUAGAGUGCGGUAGGGGUGACUGGAAUUCCUGGUGUAGCGGUGAAAUGCGCAGAUAUCAGGAGGAACACCGAUGGCGAAGGCAGCUCGCUGGGACGGUACUGACGCUGGAGACGCGAAAAGCGUGGGGAGCAAACAGG